rnacentral:lncRNA from 1 species
CUCCCUACUCAAACUCAAUCAUUCUUAAAUAAUCACACCAAGAAAACUAUAAAAUAACCAUCCAAAAUAGAUUCAAAAUCCAACAGAAAAAUCACAAAUCUGAAUUCAAAAUUCAAAGAAAAAAUCACAAAUCUGGCUAAACUUUUUCCUUCCUCUGGUUCCCGGGCGUAAGUGAGAGAAACCAGAUAAGUUUCUUUUCCUUCUCUUUUCUGCCGGUCACACAAACUCUCUCUCUCUCUCUCUCUCUCUCUCUACCCUUUUUGUUUUCGUUAAACGUGAGAAAGCAGAGCGGUGCGUGUAUAUAAGAAAAACAGAGACCGCUGCCUCGCCCCUCCAAUUUUCUUUUGCUGUCGGCGGCUUUUUUACAUUUUUUUUUCUUUAUUAGCCCUAAUGGGCUGGAACCGUUUGACCCACCAGGCAAAGACCAAUAGAAUUUCCUAAACCUCAUAUAUAAGAGAUCCAUCCAAUGCUUCAUUAGUCAUCACCUUGCACGACUUUUGGGAGAAAGCUUGCUGAGUUAGAGACAACUGAAGUUACUAAGCAACGCAAUCAUGCAAAUCUUAAAGGCCACUUAUUUGUCAGCUUAUGGAUGAUGAAGAUAUAGAGGUGGCUAUGGAGGACCCUAAUCUGCUCCAAUACUCUCCGGCUUCUGACCUUAGCGGGUGAAACGUAGAGGGCAAGCUGUUCGAGCAAGUAUGAUAAUGUUGUUCAGUUCUUGAAAGAGAGGUAGCCAUUUUUCCUUAGAGGUGAGAAGGCUUUUCAGUUUCAAUACACAAUUAUUCUUUUGACCUAUUCUCCUUCUUGCAUAUUCUCAAUAUAUAUAUAUAUAUAUAUAUAUCUAUGUAUAUAAUGGAGAGAAAGGGACAUAAGGAAUCGUAUCUUCUCCAUAUCCCAUGGACGGUAACAUAUUUGAGAUCUGGAUCUACGUGAUUCCUGUGCAAUGUUGAAGCAAUGUCUCCCGACCACCACCUUGCCAACN